rnacentral:rRNA from 1 species
UACGUAGGGUGCAAGCGUUAAUCGGAAUUACUGGGCGUAAAGCGUGCGCAGGCGGUUUUGUAAGUCUGUCGUGAAAUCCCCGGGCUCAACCUGGGAAUUGCGAUGGAGACUGCAAGGCUAGAAUCUGGCAGAGGGGGGUAGAAUUCCACGUGUAGCAGUGAAAUGCGUAGAGAUGUGGAGGAACACCGAUGGCGAAGGCAGCCCCCUGGGUCAAGAUUGACGCUCAUGACGACGAAAGCGUGGGGAGCAAACGAAGGAUAGAGUACCUUA